rnacentral:rRNA from 1 species
GACGAACGCUGGCGGCGUGCCUAACACAUGCAAGUCGAACGAAGAGCGAUGGAAGCUUGCUUCUAUCAAUCUUAGUGGCGAACGGGUGAGUAACGCGUAAUCAACCUGCCCUUCAGAGGGGGACAACAGUUGGAAACGACUGCUAAUACCGCAUACGAUCUAAACUCGGCAUCGAGGAUAGAUGAAAGGUGGCCUCUACAUGUAAGCUAUCACUGAAGGAGGGGAUUGCGUCUGAUUAGCUAGUUGGAGGGGUAACGGCCCACCAAGGCGAUGAUCAGUAGCCGGUCUGAGAGGAUGAACGGCCACAUUGGGACUGAGACACGGCCCAGACUCCUACGGGAGGCAGCAGUGGGGAAUCUUCCGCAAUGGACGAAAGUCUGACGGAGCAACGCCGCGUGAGUGAUGACGGCCUUCGGGUUGUAAAGCUCUGUUAAUCGGGACGAAAGGCCUUCUUGCGAAUAGUGAGAAGGAUUGACGGUACCGGAAUAGAAAGCCACGGCUAACUACGUG